AAGAAUGUAAUCACCUUGGCACACAUGGAGAGGACCCAUUGAAGCACUGUCUAUGGGAAAGCAAGUUCUACCCAGCAGGCUUCCAGUAUGCCCAACCCCAAUGGAAACACUAACCCCGGAGGACACAGAGAGUUUUAGGCAAAGACCUGUGAGUUUUCUGGUAUUUUGGGUAAGCCCAUUCCUGAGAUGAGAUGGGCACCUCAGGAAGCCUUAACCUGAUCCAGGAACACUGCCUUGAGUCACAGCCCCAUUCUGAUUCUAUGGUCACCAGGCAACCUUCUCAUUGUGAGCCUGCCUCCCAGGCAGCUCUGCCAACCAGGGAGAAAGCAUUGUUGGUAUAAGGUUUGACCAUUUGAUGACUCUUGGUGGAUUAAUUGUCCCUGAUCAAGACAAAUCUAUUUUAGAUUACCAAAAAUUAACAAAGGGUCUUGCUUGUGUAUUAUUUUAAGUACCAUGAAGUGGUCUCACAGGCGCUGGCUACUCCUGGACAGUGGCUGAAAUGGCCUUCCAAAUAUGGGCCUUCAACUGUACCCUAGAUCUAAGACCCAGGAGCCUGACUCACUUCAAGGAAAAAUAAAAAAAGCCAUUUCCCAAUCAACUUCUUUUGGUGUUUAAGAAGCUACCAGGAAAUUAACUGGAUAAGGGGAAAGCUUGGGAGGCACUAAGGUAUUGCUAUCUAUCAAAGAAGUAUUUGUGUGUACACAUCUACCUUCAAAUAAUCCCCGCCUGAGGAGGAACAACAGUCCAGAGAGGGCUGGAGCUUUUCAGAACUCGUGCUGUUCAACCAGGAGAGGUCAAGACAUGUUUACCUUUUCAGAAUGUUGAAGCUUUAAUGCUGUAGGUGACAAACUUACCUCAACUGAGUGCGAAGGCUCUGUAAUCUCUCUACAAAUAUUGUAUAACACAAAUAGAAAUGAUCAGACUCACAAGGAAAGCAUCCAGUCACGAAAACCAAAGAAAAUGAAAGUAACACAGGAGGAAACAAGAGAUUGUAUAAGAAUCUGGUGGCUGGUGGAGCGGUUUACUGACGCGUCCCUGGAGUGAGGGCCUGCUUCUUAUGUCUUCAGUUCCAAGUCCAUCACAUUUCAUGACCAAAGAUGCCAAGGCAGACACAGACCAUUAAUCCAUCCUCUGCAUCUCCAGCAGCAACAUCUUGAACAGCUUUGCUCAUCUAUUUCACUCCCCUGCUGUACAAGCAUCUCAUCGCCUCUGUACCUACACUGCAACCUGCCUUGGGAAUUCAAGACUUUCCAGAAACAAGGCCUCAGCUUCUCAGAUGGUGUCAUUUCCUCCUGCCAAGCAGCCCCCCUGAGCAGCCUUUGGGCUUUCUUUCCAUUCACAGGAUCCUGCAUAUGGCCGUCCUCCUCCCAGAAGCAGGAGCUCUGUGCCCCGGUGCACUGAAGCCCACAGGACACCUCCUUGUUUGCAGGAUCCACUUUGUCACUUUCCUUUUCUAUGCAAUUGCUGUGCCAUAUUUCAAUAAACAGUGUCUUGCAGCCACCG